GGUCCCAUAACUCAGCUGGUUAGAGUAUCUGACUCAUAAUCAGAAAGUCCUUGGUUCGAGCCCAAGUGGGACCA
rnacentral:tRNA from 1 species